AUUGAACACUGGCGGCAUGCUUAACACAUGCAAGUCGAACGGCAGCAUAGUCUAGCUUGCUAGAUGGGUGGCGAGUGGCGAACGGGUGAGUAACGCGUAGGAAUAUGCCUUAAAGUGGGGGACAACUUGGGGAAACUCAAGCUAAUACCGCAUAAUCUCUGAGGAGAGAAGCUGGGGACCGCAAGGCCUGGCGCUUUAAG
rnacentral:rRNA from 1 species